rnacentral:rRNA from 1 species
GACGAACGCUGGCGGCGUGCCUAAUACAUGCAAGUAGAACGCUGAAGGAGGAGCUUGCUUCUCUGGAUGAGUUGCGAACGGGUGAGUAACGCGUAGGUAACCUGCCUGGUAGCGGGGGAUAACUAUUGGAAACGAUAGCUAAUACCGCAUAAUAGCAGUUGUUGCUUGACAACUGUUUGAAAGGUGCAAUUGCACCACUACCAGAUGGACCUGCGUUGUAUUAGCUAGUUGGUGGGGUAACGGCUCACCAAGGCGACGAUACAUAGCCGACCUGAGAGGGGGCUCGGCCACACUGGGACUGGGACACGGCCCAGACUCCUACGGGAGGCAGCAGUAGGGAAUCUUCGGCAAUGGACGGAAGUCUGACCGAGCAACGCCGCGUGAGUGCAGAAGGUUUUCGGAUCGUAAAGCUCUGUUGUAAGAGAAGAACGAGUGUGAGAGUGGAAAGUUCACACUGUGACGGUAUCUUACCAGAAAGGGACGGCUAACUACGUG